rnacentral:tRNA from 1 species
AGCCAAACCAGGCGUCUAGGCGCCAACUCGUAAUGAGGGGUCGGGGGUUCGAGUCCCCCCGUCG